UACGAAGGGGGCUAGCGUUGUUCGGAUUUACUGGGCGUAAAGCGCACGUAGGCGGAUUGUUAAGUCGGGGGUGAAAUCCUGGAGCUCAACUCCAGAAUUGCCUUCGAUACUGGCUUUCUAGAGGCUGGAAGAGGUUAGUGGAAUUCCCAGUGUAGAGGUGAAAUUCGUAGAUAUUGGGAAGAACAUCAGUGGCGAAGGCGGCUAACUGGUCCAGAUCUGACGCUGAGGUGCGAAAGCGUGGGGAGCAAACAGG
rnacentral:rRNA from 1 species